ACAGCAGUCGCCACGGUAAAACGGAGGGUGCAAGCGUUAAUCGGAAUUACUGGGCGUAAAGCGCACGCAGGCGGUCUGACAAGUCAGAUGUGAAAUCCCCGGGCUUAACCUGGGAACUGCAUUUGAAACUGUCAGGCUGUAGUCUUGUAGAGGGGGGUGGAAUUCCAGGUGUAGCGGUGAAAUGCGUAGAGAUCUGGAGGAAUACCGGUGGCGAAGGCGGCCCCCUGGACAAAGACUGACGCUCAGGUGCGAAAGCGUGGGGAGCAAACAGGAUUAGAUACCCCUGUAGUCCCUGUCUCUUAUAC
rnacentral:rRNA from 1 species